rnacentral:tRNA from 1 species
GUUUUUAUAGUUUAAAAAAAACGUUAGUCUUGUAAACUAAAAUUUAAGAAAUUAUAAAAACU